CUGGCAAGCCUGCCCGCCACUGACGUCACGGCACUGAAAACCAAGAUCAAGUUCAGGCCCCGGUCCAAAGCCAAGCCAAUCCGAUGCACCUCCUGCAGCUUUACCGCCCGCACAAUCACCGAGAUGAGCAUUCACACAAAGACCCACGGCUCCUCCGGCCAGUUCUUCCAAGGCAACCACUUCACUGCCAAGGUCGACUUUCUGCGCCACAUGUUCACCCGCACGGAGGUCACGACGCACAGGUGUUGCCUCUGUCCGACGGAGUUUGCGUCCAGACAGGCUCUCUUGAAGCACCUCAACACUCACGCAAGUGGCGAGACCGGGAAAACAUUCAGGUGUCCUCAGUGCCACGCUGAGGUGCGGUCUCACAACCUUGUGUCGCACGUGCGCUGCCACAUGGGCGAAGCACCUUUCGAGUGCGCCUACUGCCGGCGGACAUUCUUUCGUUCGUGCAAUCUUUCGUAUCACCGCCGCAUUUGCCACCGGGCUGCCAGGCCCUAGGCUCACUGUCUGCGGAAUGCAUGGGGGGGGAUAUCGGGCAUUUGUCGAAAGUGACGCACCAAACAUGGUUUCGAAGCGAAAAAUUGUGUGUGUAGUCGGCGACGAGAACAAACUUGUGCCGCUGCCAAUGUCUGUUCAUGGUGCCACGUGUGGUAUUAUCGUUAUGGAGCAUUCCGAUUCAUUCGCCGAGACCACAUCGCUGCUUUUUUGGGCAUCCGAGCUGAAAGGGGGAAAGAAGAGGAUGUCUGGUACUUCGUGGUUUCUCAAAACUUGGGUCCUAGGAACCCGAGGAUUGGUCGGAGUAGCACCUCCAGGGAUUUCUUGGGCACCUACCCCCUAGAUGAAGUGGUGUCCCAGUUCGAGCGUUGCCGAGCUAAUCCCGACUCGUGAUUACGGACCAAACGGACCUUUCUUUCUGCUUUGUCUCGGUUCAAGCAUUGCUGAGCUAAUCUUUGAUGUGUGGUGCCUGACCAAACAUUCCUUCCUUUCUACUUUGUUUCAGUUCAAGCAUUGUUAAGCUGUUCAUUGGUGCAUGGGUACUGGCCAAGCGUUCCUUUCUUUAGGCUUUGCGUGCGAGAUUUAGCCAGGCGGCUUGUAGGCUUUCCAUAUUCGUAGGAGCUGGUAAGCUCGUUAACCAAAGAGCUGUGUCAAUGUAGAUUACUUUGUGCCUCGAGUGAGGGGCCCGUCGAUUUAUUUCGACUCGUGUCAUAAUUUUGUCUUUCAGUAGGAGACGUUUUGCAUUCGUUGUGUGCUCACCGACUUUGAUGGACUCUGUAUGACGAAUGCAUGCCAACAGUCAUUGGUGCGCACGACCUUGUGGGCCGACGAGCCUACUGCAGCAAAUGCAUUUAAGUUUUAACUCUGUGCUUGAGUCAUUGAGUAACAGUUCACAGUCCCAUAUGAGUACUAUAUGGUGACUCUGAGUUCAAUACAGCGAGGUUGCUAUAGCAUCUCUCUGAAAUUCUGAUUUUUAUGUUCCUUAAUUUUAUCCACUGUUAAUUUUAGCUUAUGUAAGAAAAAACAAAAACCACUGCUUUACAAUUUUUUUGUUUGGUUUAGAUGUUCUUGGUGUGAAGACGUUGCGAGAAUCUUUUGUCGAGCUGCAGAAUUUUCUCCAUUAAUACAUUAUGUUUGUGCAUACUGUUUGUGAUUGCCGUUUCAUUAAUUUAUUCAUUUGUUUAUUUUCCGUGCUCAUGAACAGCUUCACUGACACCUUUGAAAUGCUCUCAGUACUUCGAAAUUGUUUCAAUCUACAUUGUUUUAAGUUUAUCGAGAAGGGUGCAUCUCGACUCUGGAAUCGGCAUUUUUGCAGUGUGUUUAAUGAAACCAUUAUGUGAAAUGUGCACCUGUACUUGAUACGAAGAAGAGAACCCAGCAUUUAAACCCCUCGGGCUGAGGCUGACCUCUUGGAGCGUGCGUUUUGAAACUGGGGUCUUCAGAGUAUCCUCAGGGGUUCUCAAUUUCCAAAUAUACGCAGCCAUCUUUGCCCCUAAGUAAAGUGUUUUUCCAGCGUAAGCACUAUUGUAGAAAAUCCGAGCCAUCUACUGAUGCGUAGCUACGUUUCAAACACUUCUUGGUUUGUGGCAGACAUGUACACAUUACCCCAAAAAAGUAACUAAAUACCGUUACCCUCAAAAAGUAACUACCGUAAAUACGGUUACUCGUUCAAGAAGUAACUGAACACAUUACUCACUCAAAACAAAUGCAUUACAGUAAAAUGGAUAGGUGGGCUAGUUGGUACAUGUUUAACUUGUGAAGCGCCUAAAAACUAGGACACGAGGAACGAGGACGUUGCGGAGUACAUUGAAUGCGCAACGUCAGUUGUUUACGAAAUACCUAUGACUUGUGGAAAAGCAUAGUAUAUAGGGCAAACGGGGAGGUGCAUCAACGAUGGGGCACGCAAGCAUGCCUUAUCUGUUAGAAGUUCCCCAUCAGGUAAUCUAGCAAUUCACUAUGAUAGGUGUCCGUGCGCGCCUAAUCUUGACAAAGCAAAAAAUAGUUGGAAAACUAAAAAACAAAACUGAGAGAGAAUUGUUUGAGGCCUACUGCAUUAGAGUAAAGGGCGAGGAUAGCUGCGUGCACUUAGCUGAGAAAGAGUUUUCCUUUUUGUGUCAGGAGACUGAAUUUUUGUACAAAUAGUAAGUGUAGCAAGUUACUUUGCUCGUUACUUUGACGACCAAAUACACAAUUGCUCUUUUUUUCACGGUUUAUACAGGUUCCUUUUUAGUAGUCGUUGCGUUUAAGCAGUAGCUGCUGCUCAAAGUUUUCAUCAGUAAUGUUUCCCCGCUGCGUCUCGGGCGACGCUGAAGAGUCGUUUUGCUGACGCACUCGAAGGAACGGCAGUGUUGUGCUUCAGAAAGAGCUGGUGUAUCUGGGAUUCCCUUCUCUCUUUUCUCUCUGUUUCUUCCUAGUUGACAGUGAGCUAUAUGCAUUCCCGUGUUGGCAACCUACGGGUUUACAUAUAGUCUGUACACGAUUCUAGAAGGUUCAACCAACGAACCUUAUUGUGUUCUGUAGGUGAAUGACAUUCAUUCCCAGCUGUAGAGUUUGACUGACAUGCUCAGCGAUAAACGUUGCUAUACUGUCAUUCUGUUUAGUUGUUUUUCGGGUUGCCCAUCUGCCUUUGUCACUGUAGACGUGUACUAAGGUUCGGAUGAAAACGAGGCUGUUCAAACGUUGUACAUCUUACUCCUCAAAAGUAACAAAAUACCGCUACUCGUGGUUUCGCCUUAACAAUAACUAUGUUACUGUUUUUUUUGUAAAAAAGUAACUAAACACGUUACUCGUUACCGCAAACAGUAACUAGGUAUAAGUAACUAGUGCAUUACAUACAUGUCUGGUAUGUGAAUUAUUGUUUACGAGGUCUGUUAGCUCUUGCACCGCUUUACUGCACCAAUGCCAAGACCGGGAAGGGUCCUUUGACUUGGAAGAUCCUCCUUAUGUGGGUCGGGGCAAUUCAUGGUGUGCCGUCUUAUGCAAAACAAAAAUUAUUUUGUACGCACUGGUACUUCGUUAUAAUUGCGUGCAUAUUUGUUUCGGGUGAGCCUUGCACAAUACCUCUUUACUUCUUAGUGCCUCUAAACACUGUUUUUGGGAAACUUGGCAAGCUGCCGAAGCUGUGUUUCCAGUGAGCCCAUCAGAGCGUGACAUGUAACUUCACAUCUUUGGAGAGCAGUCGUACGCUUUGCUCCGCCACUCUAGUUGGCUCACUGGGCCAUAGCUUUUACUCUUCGCUAAGCUACGUCAAAACAAAGUAUAGCAGCCGUGGUUUUCGAGGACGUGUUUACUGGUUUAUGCCACAACAGACCCUUCUUGAAAAAUGUGCUCCGUCUGGUAGUUGCUGUUUUAUUUAUCUAAGUCGGCCAUUGUUUGGGCACAUACUUUGCGCAUGUAUUGGGCACGAGGGCUUUGUCAGCGUUUGGCGAGGACUCGGAUCCAAUCGCACGCUUCGUGCCCAAGAAAUGGCGACUGGCAGUGCGUCUUUACAAGGUUUCGAAAAGGGUCUAAGCUGGCGUCCUUGAUUUCGUCUUUACCCUCUAACAAACACAUUUUUGCCUUUCCCCGGUGCAGCCGACGCCGGAUCAAAACGGCAGAUGGCUCGAGCCAAGCCGAAGCCUCUCCUGAAACUUUUCCAGUGCAAGAUCUGCACCUACAUGACUCGCAAGCUGGCCAACAUGCGGCGCCACUUGCAGUCGCACUCUGGCGAGCGUCCCUUUGGCUGCCCCCAGUGCUCUGCGCGGCUCGUGUCCAAGUCGGCGCUCCAGGCCCACCUGCGCACCCACACGGGAGAGAAACCCUUCGAGUGCGACGUCUGCUUGAAGCACUUCACCCAGAAGAGCAGCCUGACCAAGCACCGGCUCAUCCACACCGGGGAGCGGCCCCACAAGUGCCACAUGUGCUCGAUCGCUUUCUCGCAGAAGCAGCACCUCAAGGUGCACAUCCGCUCCCACACGGGCGAGAGGCCGUUUGCGUGCGGGCACUGUCCCAAGUCGUUUGCGCAGAACGACGACCUGGUGAGGCACACCCGGAUCCACACGGGGGAGAGGCCGUUCAAGUGCCCGGAGUGUCCCCGCACGUUCACGCAGUCCACGGGCCUCAAGAGCCACGUGAAGACGCACUGCAGGGAGGCCGUGCACAAGUGCGACCGGUGUUCGCUGGGGUUCAGGACGAAGAACGGGCUGGGAAGGCACAGGGCGAUACAUGACCAGUGAUUUUUCCCACGAUGCUUUCUUUCCGCAUUGUCGUACGGUGUACGGGACCGGUCGGAAUUGAAGUUUAUUUGCCGAGCAUUUUAGAUGUCGAGCUGUAAGGCCCUACAGUCCGUUGCAACUCCAGAACGAAGGGCGAAGGUAAGACGGGCCGGGGAGGAGGAAGCAGACGGAACGCUGAAGAAGAGAGGGGGAACCUACUUCUCUCUUUAGUGUUCCGUCUGCUUCCUCCUUUCCGGCCCGUCUCAUCCUCGCCCUUCGUUCUUGAGUUCCAACUGACUGUAGGUACACGCUUUAUGGAAAUGAGCUUUCCUUAUUUGCAGGUUUUGUGGGACAGAAGUUUUAUCUUGGGGAUACAUAGUAUGAGAAUGUUUCUUACUCUUGCAACAAGCAUUUUUGAUUGUCAAGCUGUAUGGUUCUUUAUUCAAGUUAUCUACUAUUAUUUUUUUGCGAGUUUUGUGGGAUGAGAACAUCAUCCUGGGGGAUAUAGUAUGAGUUUGGUUUUCCUUGCUGGUGGUUUGACUGGGGUCAUCUUGUGAUUCGAUAGAUUGUUAUAAGUAAUGUCGGUGCCUUCGAUGAUCUCGAAGAUUUAUGGGACCACGAAGUUGCGAUUGCUAAUCCAGAGCUCGGGUCGCGGAGUUCCUGUGAGUUUGAACUUACGGAUGUGGUUUAGGUUAGAAGUGAGGGGGCUUCUCUUUUUUAGAAGCCUGUUGCAUCAACUUCCGUGGAUCUAUUCCACCACAAAUGCCGAGGACAUUUUUCGUAGAAUUUAGUUAAUCUGGGCUUUCUUUGCCGGUACAUAAUGAAUAGAAUAUUUUUGUGCUUAAUGUUUUUUAUUGCAGCUAUCUGCUAGGUUGCCCAGUUUCAUAUUUUGCAUUUUCUUUAUACUGUAUAACAUCAUUGAUCGUGUUGCAUUUUGAAAUCUCUACCCAAAAAGGCUGUUACGUUGAAGAAUAAGUGAGCUUCAGUAUGACGUUCACGCUUGUUGAGGCCCAUUCACAGAGUAGUGUUUGACUACGUUGUGAGGACUUGCGCAAAGUUAUGACCGAGUCUCCAGGACAUCCGUGUUUUGGGCGCUGCCUGGUAAUCAGUUCAGAGAGUAGUUUUGCACGUGACAUGGGAAGCAUAGAUGUCUCAAUGGAUUGUGAUCGCGUCUUUCCGUAACAUAAUCGGGUGCAGGUGUGUGAAUUGCCUUUAGUGUUGUCUGCAUUAGCUGUGUUAAGCAUCCUGCCUGUGUGCUUUACAACAUCUUGUAGGCGCCAUAAUAUAUGCAAUAAAUAUGUCGAACAGAAAAGUAUUGGGGUUUGCCCAAAUGAUUUUUCAUAGAACUUGCUGAUAGAGUUAACUCUAAAACUAAAGGAGAGGCAGAUUGCCUUUUUGUUGAGCUUUUGGUUUACACUGGUGUGCCUGAUAUAAAUGUCCUGUUCCCGUCCUCGUCCUCUCUGUUUUAUACUUUCAAGUUUUGUAUCUGAUAUAAAUGUUGCCACAUUUUAGCAUAUUUCUUCCUGUAUGAACUCAACACAAUUCAGUCUGCUCAUAUCUGAUUAUUUGAAGCAGCUGUCAUAAAAUGUCUCGAUCUGUGUCAAUCUUAUCUAAAGUUGGAAUAUUAAGUUUCUCUUUUGCAUUCAACUUUUCUGGAUUACUGCAUGGGCCUGUUGCUUUUCAUGAGGCCCAGCUUACUGCAUAAGCAAAUACAGCCUUAAGAUUUUGUGCUCGGUUUUGUGAUUUAAUAGAUGUCCUUAAUACUUCCAACUUGAAACCCACAAAGUUGUUUACCAUUUGCGUAAUACUGAGUUGCUGCAUGAGAUGACACACAAAAUAGUUGUGAUUUAAACAUUGCUACUGUUUAUUUUUUAAAACUGUUUAAAAAUAAAUACUGCUAAUAAUGA